rnacentral:pre_miRNA from 1 species
UUUUUAGUAUAAGUAUGUUCCAUUCAGUAAUGGGGAUGUGUUUAAACUAAAA